rnacentral:snRNA from 25 species
AUCUUUAUGCAGGGGCAUUACGUGUUUCAGUGAGGAUUCGUCCGAGAUCAUGUUUUUGCUGGUUGAAAACUUUAAACCUGACAGCUUCUCAAUGUUGGUGUCCUUGUGAUAUUUGAUGUUGAGAGAAUUUUUGGAAACUUUUUUUA